AGUGAACGCUGGCGGUAGGCCUAACACAUGCAAGUCGAACGGCAGCACAGGAGAGCUUGCUCUCUGGGUGGCGAGUGGCGGACGGGUGAGGAAUACAUCGGAAUCUACUUUUUCGUGGGGGAUAACGUAGGGAAACUUACGCUAAUACCGCAUACGACCUACGGGUGAAAGCAGGGGACCUUCGGGCCUUGCGCGAUUGAAUGAGCCGAUGUCGGAUUAGCUAGUUGGCGGGGUAAAGGCCCACCAAGGCGACGAUCCGUAGCUGGUCUGAGAGGAUGAUCAGGCACACUGGAACUGAGACACGGUCCAGACUCCUACGGGAGGCAGCAGUGGGGAAUAUUGGACAAUGGGCGCAAGCCUGAUCCAGCCAUACCGCGUGGGUGAAGAAGGCCUUCGGGUUGCAAAGCCCUUUUGUUGGGAAAGGAAUCCAGCUGGCUAAUACCCGGUUGGGAUGACGGUACCCAAAGAAUAAGCACCGGCUAACUUCGUGCCAGCCGCCGCAGUAA
rnacentral:rRNA from 1 species